CCUACGGGAGGCAGCAGUGGGGAAUUUUGGACAAUGGGCGCAAGCCUGAUCCAGCCAUGCCGCGUGUGGGAAGAAGGCCUUCGGGUUGUAAACCACUUUUGUCAGGGAAGAAACGGUCUGAACUAAUACUUUGGACUAAUGACGGUACCUGAAGAAUAAGCACCGGCUAACUACGUGCCAGCAGCCGCGGUAAUACGUAGGGUGCAAGCGUUAAUCGGAAUUACUGGGCGUAAAGCGUGCGCAGGCGGCUUUGCAAGACAGAUGUGAAAUCCCCGGGCUCAACCUGGGAACUGCAUUUGUGACUGCAUGGCUAGAGUACGGUAGAGGGGGAUGGAAUUCCGCGUGUAGCAGUGAAAUGCGUAGAUAUGCGGAGGAACACCGAUGGCGAAGGCAAUCCCCUGGACCUGUACUGACGCUCAUGCACGAAAGCGUGGGGAGCAAACAGGAUUAGAUACCCUGGUAGUCCACGCCCUAAACGAUGUCAACUGGUUGUUGGGAGGGUUUCUUCUCAGUAACGAAGCUAACGCGUGAAGUUGACCGCCUGGGGAGUACGGCCGCAAGGUUGAAAACUCAAAAUGAAGUAGAGCGNGAGAGAGCGAACGGACGACGACGAGGGAGGAGGAG
rnacentral:rRNA from 1 species